GCAGCAGUAGCAGCAGAGGCGGCAGCAGCAUGGCGGGCGCCCAGCAGGAGAACACUCUGCUGCACCUCUUCGCCGGGGGAUGCGGAGGAACAGUUGGUGCCAUCUUUACCUGUCCCUUAGAGGUAAUAAAGACUCGGCUCCAAUCUUCAAAGCUAGCUUUCCGGGCUGUCUACUACCCACAAGUCCAGCUGGGGACCAUCAGUGGUGAAGGAAUGGUCAGGCCAACAUCUGUAUCACCUGGGCUCUUUAGUGUUCUCAAGUCAAUUCUGGAAAAAGAAGGACCAAAGUCACUCUUCCGAGGGCUGGGUCCAAACUUGGUCGGGGUUGCACCAUCAAGAGCUGUCUAUUUUGCGUGCUACUCCAAAGCUAAAGAACAAUUUAAUGGCAUUUUUGUGCCCAACAGCAAUGUUGUGCACAUCUGUUCUGCAGGUUCUGCAGCCUUUAUCACAAAUUCCCUCAUGAAUCCUAUAUGGAUGGUGAAAACCAGAAUGCAACUUGAAAGGAAAGUCAGGGGUUCAAAACCAAUGAAUGCUUUGCAGUGUGCUAGAUAUGUUUACCAGACAGAAGGUGUCCGCGGCUUUUAUAGGGGCCUGACUGCUUCCUAUGCUGGGAUUUCUGAGACCAUUAUCUGCUUUGCUAUUUAUGAAAGUUUAAAAAAGCACUUAAAGGAAGUGCAACUGCCCCCUUCUCCUCCUAACGGGACCGAAAGGAACUCAACCAACUUCUUUGGACUGAUGUUUGCUGCUGCUGUUUCCAAGGGCUGUGCUUCUUGUAUUGCUUAUCCACAUGAGGUCAUACGGACACGGCUGCGAGAAGAAGGCACUAAGUACAAGACCUUAAUUCAGACAGCACGUCUGGUAGCACGUGAAGAAGGCUAUUCUGCCUUCUAUAGAGGACUGUUUGCCCAGCUCAUCCGGCAGAUACCAAACACAGCCAUUGUGUUGUCCACCUAUGAGUUAAUUGUGUAUCUGUUAGAAGACAGUGCAAAGUAGCAGAGCCAAGACUGCCGUUACAGACUGUAGACCAAUUUCUUCAUUGAACAAAUAGAGACUGAUGCAGGUGGCAGUGCUGGUGGAAGAGCAAGUCUGUGACCACCUGCUGGAUACUUCCUUUUGGAUUCAUGCCUUCUGAAAGGAGAAGAACUGGUUUGGAAAUGUGCAACUCUGUUGUCUUCCCACUGGAGUCAUGUCACUUUAGCACUGUAAUAGCCUAAUGCCCAAACAAGUUUGAGAGUUCUUCUGGGAUAUUCAAGGUGCAUCAUUUGUUGCUGUGUGAGCAUCCUGGAGUGUUCAAGCAGGACAUUCAUAGUAUGUUUAUCUGCUUUGAGGGUGUGAGAUAUGCACACCAGAAUGUCUUAGGAAAACCAUGUGUACUAGCAAUACUGCUGGAAUAUGAUUGUGGGAGGCUUCUAGCAAAAAAGGAAUUACACUGCUGUGUGCACCACUGCA